UUUUGCCUAAGUCCAUCUGUAUAUUAUACAAAAUACUCUGUUGCUUGAGAUGUUGGAUUCUCCUUAGCAGCAAGCACUCACAGUUGUAAAGCCUGCCUUGCCUUUUUGACCAUCUAAAAUGGCAAAGAAAAUAGUCUUUGCCCACUCAAAAGAGGUUGGUAAAAAUGUUAAGAAAAUGAGUGUCAUUGAUGACCUUGACCAGGGAGGAGGAAAUGAAGUAUUUACAGUUGGAUUUAUCAGAUGUGAGCAGAAACAUGCUUUGCAUGAUUGUUUUCAUAAACAAGUGAUAUCUCCCUUUUUUUCUCCCAACUGUUCUACCUUAAGGAACCAUGUACAGGAUCAAAAGAUAAAAUUAGAGGAAAAUUAAUUUAAAACAUUACCCCCUCUUCCACAAAGGUGCCAUUACUGAUUUUUUUGUAGCCUCUUCACUGUCAGUACGUUUAAAAAAUACCCUGAAGGUUUUACAUUGUCGGAUGUAGACAGGCAUUCUGGUUUAUUAUGGAAAGGCUAAGCACAGUUCAUUUCCAAGCCAAUUCAUAUUCCCCCCUUACCUUUUCCAUCUAAGCUGGAAUACCACAGUUUUCAAAGGGCCCAACUGAACAGGCUGAUACGGCAACAGAUUUCUUAAGAAGUAGAUAUUAUUAUUUGGAAGCAGAUUAUCCUUGCUGCUUUGCAGCUAUAUAAAAAGUGUUCACCUGAGCUGCUUGCAAGAGCUGUAACAACUUCUGUAGUUUUAGAUGAUACAUGCUGAAAGUACUAAGCCCAGAGGAUUCAGAGCCCGCAGAGAGAUGGAGAAGAUGAGUGAGCAUCUUUAAAUGUAUUAUAGUACAAAACUCCAAAAUUAUCUAUAAUUGUCUACUGUGACACAUCUUGUAACAUUUCGUCUAUAAAAAUUGUUUUAUAUUUAGUUCCAAAGAAGAUCAACAGAAGGCACCUCUUAUGUGCUGUUUGCAUUAGCUAUGAUGGGAAACUGUACUUACAGACUCAGCCUUGUUUUAAAGAUGCCUGCUACUGAAUCUUUCCGGGCCCUCUACUUUUUACACCAUCUUCCAUGGUUCAUUGGGAGCUUCGGAGUUUUGUUUCUAGACAUUUUUGUAUCCUUUUUCUAUUAUAGCAAGAGUUUCUCAGGGUUGCUUUGUUAAUAUGAUCAGAAAUUAAACAGAAUUUUUCUUAAGUUAUAGUUUUUGUAUGAUUCUAACCUGAUUAUAGAGCUUAACCACUUCCUAAAGAGAAAAUUUAUAUGCUUUUUAUAAUAUUUCUUGAUACAAAUAACAGGUUUAUAGAAAAUAUCUGCAGGUUAAUUUACAUUUUGUAGCCAUACACUGCGCUGAAAGUUGGGACAGAAGGGGUUUAACACAUUGCUAUGCUGUUUUUCACGUUUGCUGCCUGAUAAAUAGAAAAAGAAUCCUAGUUGUUUUCAAAUGCAUAUUUAGAACAAUAACUUUGAGAAUUUGGCUAAAUUGUAAAUGUUACUGGAAGAUAGCAUUAAGGUCAGAGACAAACAAUGAUGUUUUGACAAACAUUUUCAAAAAAUAGCAUUUAGCAAACAAGCGCAGCAGCUACCCUUAACUGUAUAACUGGAGGCAAAAUCAGAUGCAUCCAGACACUGAGUACCUCUGAAAACGAGCAGCUGUGCUCACUGAAUCAUGUGUAAGGGCUAAUACUCUUAUAUAGAUUAGUACGCAAGUUUCUUGUUAGUCCUGAACUUAGACUGAAAACACUAAGUUCUUAUAUUUAACAUAUAUUUAUAUGUUAAAUGUUAUAUGUGCAUAUUUAAUUCUUAUAUUCAACAUACGUAAUAUGCCUCUGGUAUAUUAGUUAUUGUUAAUCAUGCUCUUUCUAGAAUGGGUAUUAGCAUUCUGUGAUUAAGAAACAAAAAGCAAAAUGUUUAGAACAAUGCUGUACUUUCCCUUAAGUCUGGUGAAUGGUAAUGUGCUGGCCUUACCGUUCAAUAUAUGUUCAUAGCAAUCUGUCUUGCUGCUAUUGCUAUAUAGCUUUCCAUGCUAUACAUGGAAAGCAGGAGAUCUGACAAUAUUCAGACUCGUAGAGAGUGCAGACUUUGAUCACGUAGAAUUCUACUCUCGCUGCAUUGUUCUGUCGAUCCGUAAUGCGAUAAGUCCAGGCAGGAGAUUGCAAAAACUGUGUUACCCUUUUUAUGUGGCAUAACUGGAUACUGAGUUUUCCUGAAUUGCCACACAAUAGAACAGUGUGUGUUUUGGCAAACUGGUGGUGCCCUUUUGAAAGACUCGAUGGAAUAUUGGAUACUAAUUAUACUCCAACAGCUUUGUAGUAGUUUUGUAGAGAAUUCCCAGUCGCCUUCCCCUCUGAUUAGUCUUUAAACUAACAGAACCCAGUACUUGAGUCUUCUAGCUUGUAUUUUCACUUAAAAUAGUAUUAACAGGAGAAUUCCUCAUCUUCCCUGAAGAAAGAAUUUCAGUUCUGUGUCUUAAAAUAUCUUUCUGUUUAGCUCCAUUAACUCAAAGUAUGAAGCUGGAUAGAACGAAGAGUGUCUUCAGGACCAUACUGAAGCAUAUUGUGUUAAUCCAUUCCGUAUUAAAAGGAGGCCCUUUACCAGAUUUACCUGGAACAGUUCAGGAAGUUAUGAUUCCCAGGCAUCAGUCUUGUCUUUCUGAUUAAAGUAAUUUCAUAAGCCACUGCAGAUAGUCCAACGAUGGAAUAGCUUACCCUGGCCUUUGGAUGGACUGUUACAUUAUAUUGUCAUUCAGAAUAGUCAUCUGUGCUUUUUGCAUCUCCAGCCAUGGCAAUUUAAGUUGGCAUGCAUUUUAGUAAAACAUUCUGUGUUGUGGGAACAUGGUACUUCACUGCAGUGGUGAGACUAAACUGCAGAACUGCAGUUAGUGGCCCUUUUUUGAAAUAAAUUGCAGUUUUAUCUUUUAUGAGACAAUACGGUUCCUUUUGCAUGGACAGACUGUAGGGAUUCAUGGUUGCUGGCCCCUGUGGCUGGUUUGGGCACUCAGGCCUUUUGCUCCAUAAACAAAGUGGUGACUCUUUUCUUCCUUCCCCCCAUUCACUCCCCCCCCGAAACAUAAAACUGCCAGUGUUUAUUUAUCAAAAAAACCCUAGAAUUUGAUCUUGAUGACCUUUACAGUACAUUAUGUGCAUAUUUGCAGAUGCCUUUCUGUGAUGUACUCUGAAAAGGAACUUCUAUAUUGGCCACAAGCCUCCCCCUCUUUCUGAGCCCUGCCCCAGAAUCCCAGUGCCAGUGUGCACAUGACAUUCAUUUCUCAGUUCUGGCUUGAUUGGAGUCUGAAUCCAAUCUUGCUAAUAGUCCUCCAGUUCAAAUUAUAUUGAAAGCAGAUGCUUCCAAAUCAGGUUGAGGAGAUCAUAGAAAUCUAGUCAAGUAUAUAGUGUUAGCUGAAAAUGUAUGAAGUAUUUGUAAUCAAGAGAAAACAAAAGCAGACCUCCUGCUUUGAGAAGCCCUCAAGAUAGGGAAGUAAAUGUUUUCCAAAGAGAGCUUCAUUUCUGUCUCUUGCCAAGCAAGAAAAUCAAAAUUCUAACAAACUGAUAGGUCAUGUUAGACCAGAAAACAGGAUUGCUUGCUUUUUGGAACAGCAGAGAAAUUAAAGCCAAAACUCCUCUUUUCUAAAGAGGGAUGUUUUAUAAUUGAUCAUCUGUGUAACAAUCUCUUGAAAAGUAGUUCAAGAAAUCUAAUCUAAUUCUAGCAGACUCUAUUCCUGAUAAUCUCCAGGGUUUUAUUAGGUGGAAAAUACAAUCUCAUUUCUCAAGGUCCAAGCAAGGAUUAAGAAUGCACUUACUCUGUCUGCUGCAGUGUUCCCUUUCCUCCAUCUGACAUGGCUGGCACUGACUAUUUUUAGAAACAAAUGGAGUCCUGGUCGUAGCUGGAACAGCAGUUCCAGUGCUACUUAGUGCAAGGUUUCACUGGAGUUGUUUCGUCUUGGUUUAGCAGGAUAACAUGGUUAUCCUGUUGCCUUGGUGUCUAAAGUUGAAGUUAUUUGUUUGCACAAUAAGUCAGUUAUUUUCCAUAAAUAAUGGAAGUGUCCAGUUGUUUGUAAAGUAUGAAUGAUGCCUUCUCUUUUUCAUUGUAAGAGGAGUUUCAUAAUAAUACACAUUUGGAGUUUCAUAAUAAUACACAUUUGAAUUAUAAGUUGGGCAUGAUCUUCAGUUUUAGUAAUCAUUUCUUUCCAGCUGCUGCUUUGCAGUUGAAGGUAGUUGGUGUUGCUCAGGAGAUGACUAAGCCUGAGGCUUAAAUGGGUCUGAUAGUGUGCCUUAUCAGUGAUAUACUAAGUACAGGUUUGCUUAUUUUAGGAUUCCAGGGUGGACAUUACUAGAGUUUUGCGUAAUGUAUGUGAUUAGUUAAUGCUUAAUUUGUACCCAAAGAUGCAGUACUACCUAUUUUAAAAUAUUAAAUCAGUUAAUGACCAGUUCUACCCUUAAACUUUUAGCAGCAGCCAACAUGAAGUUUCUGAGAGGCUGAACUUUGUGAAAGUUUUUUCCAGGAAACUUUGUCCUUUUCUGGGGCCUGGCAGUAUCUAGCCAUCAUCCUGCUUUGAGAUUCAGGCCUUGACUUUGAGCUGGAGCGACCCUUCGAGUAAAGGGGAAGUGACUGCCUGCAUGUCCUCACCUGAGCAAGAUUCCCAUCAGCAGCUGCACAACAAAAGACAAUCCAGUACAGUCGCACUUGAAGUGGAACCAUUAUUUAUGGAUGAAGAGAGUGCCUAGUGUCGGAUUGUAUAUGCCUCCUGUUUUCACUGAUAUUUAUUUUUGGAUUACUUCAACAAACAAUAAGUUUGAACAACACUGCUGUUUUUUAAAAAAGCAGCCUGAGCAUUUCCUUGCUUUCUGAGGAGGUACUUGUAAAUCCUUCCUGACAAAGUGGUUUGUAAAUGGAAGGACUUGGCCUUUCUGACGAAGCUAAAUGUACGGAGCUGCCUAAACUGCUGACUGUGAUGCAGCGUGAGCAAACCCCCAGCGUCGGAGACGGAGCGUAGAUAGACCCAAGGCCAGAUCCUGACACAGACAGUCUGCAGUUUCAUAUUACUGCUCUGCGUUUUGAGGCCAGACUGGGCUGCAUUCCUGUGAAACCAUAGCAAAGUGAUUACGUAUUGCCGUGGACUAAAGUCUCAUUUAGCAUGUCCGUUCGUGGAGGUACUUUCAUGAUAAUCAGACUCAAGUUUUUCAUCUGAUCUAUCAAGGAUGAAGCUUGGAUCAAGGCAUAUCCAAAAGCUGGAAGGCUCAGCUUGAGAUCCAGAUGUCGCAGUUCAGAACAGCUCUGUACUGCUGAAUCGUGGAGUUAUGAUUUAUUACGGCAUGUGAUGUGAAUGCUUCACUCUUUCUCCUGGUGAACAUUUUCCUUAGUGCUUUGCCUGAUGCAGCUAGGAGCAAUCCCUGAGCGUCUGCCGUGGCCGCAUGACGGCUUUCCACUUGGGGCUACGCGUAGUCUUUGAAUGCGGCGCUGCUUCUCCCUCCGCCGACGCUCGCCUCGCUCCUCUCCUGUGGUGGGCACCGCGUGCGAGCGGCUGCAAAGACGCUGCAGCUCCCUGCCUGGACUCGCUCGUUGAUGGCCUGCUGCACAGGGCAGCACGCUGCCGCAGGGCUCCCCGCUUCCAGCUCCGCGGUGGCAUCUUCCACCCGCCCAAAAAACGCCGGGGACACCUGCAAUCCCAGGAGAAACCCGUCUUGCUGACUGCUGACUGGGAUCCUCCAAGAAUUUCGAAGAUAAAGUGUUUAUGGGUCACGUCGCGGUCCUCGGUGAAGGACUGAUGUGCUCGGAAACCUGCUUGAGCGACGGGCCGCUUCCCAAGACCCGUGCCCAAAUGCUAAGCCGGCUCAGGAACAAGACGACCUGCUACGGUAUGGUGGGGGCACACCACGUAGGCACUUUGGUAAAGGAUUUUAAUGAACAUUGUAAAUUUUCAGUGAAUUUUUUCAUUUUCAAAAAUGUUGUGAAACAUCCCAGUAUUAUAUAGAUGUCACUCAGAAGGGUGUGAUGGCAUUCCUCUACCCUGAUCCAUCUAUCCGUUUCAAUUCCCAGUAAAAAUAACAGCCUCUAUUGCAACUGAGGUUUUCCUUUAGAAUAAUUAUUAAAUCUUUGGAAAGUAUUACUGGGAGAGGAGCAUCAGCAAGAUUUCUUCAUAAAUCAUUUUAAAUGAGAAGACCACAGGUAGUAAAACACAUGGAGAAGGAGGAGUUUCGAGGACUCCUCUGGCGCUGGCCCAGCUCCUUGCAGAGAUAUCCCGCUGUUGAGACUGACACAAAGUGAACAUGGCAAGGCAUGGGAUGUAGUCACGGGUGUGUGAAUUGUGACAUGGCUAGCAAAUACCCACACUCCCGUUGCAAUAUCUUCCCCUAACAAACUUUCUGUAGUAUUUUCUUGGAAAAGAAUGGGUGAUUGAUGCUUUUAAAAACCAGCCUAGAGUUUCUGGGUCUUUAUUGUGUUAUGUCUGCGGUUAUCUCUGAGAAUUGGUGAUCUUCAUCCUGGUGACAGUGUGGUAGUUGUUGGAGUCUGGAGACCCUUCGGUCCCUCCAGGUUUAAGAGAGGAGGCUGCUGUUUGGGAUUUGCUGCCAGUGGAGGGGGCAGUGCUAGCUUUAAGGCACCUUUUUGCUUUGGCAGAUGAUUGCCCAAUAAUUUUCAGGCUUAUUUCAUUUUGUGAGCACAAAAAUGUACAACGUGGCUGCGGCCGGCGAGAGAUCUCAUUUGGGCUUAGAUGCAGCCCCGCUCUUCGUUCACAGACUUGGUGGAAACACGCAGGAGCUUCCUUCUCUCUUCUGCAUGCCCGGGGGGCUCACGCGAGCUCUGAAAGCAGGAUAUUGCCUGGAUAUGUCUGGAUAUUGCUGCCCUUUCCAUGCCCAUCUCCAACGCCAGGUCCUCCGAUGCUCGGGAGCCACCACGCCAGGCCGGAGCAGAGGGAUCCUGCACCAGUCCGGCUGCCUUGGAGAAGUCCUGCAACGGCCCUCAAAGCCUGGCCUGGAGAGGGAAGGUGCCCCUGCCUGCAGCCAGCAAUGCCCAGGUCCCGGGCAACUUCCGAAACUCUUCAUUUGCGUUUUAUUCAGUGCUAAAUAUUGUUUUACUCCAUACGAAUCCCUCCUCCUUUCUAAAAUCCCACGGAUCUGUUAAUAUCAGCACGAACCUGAAGCACAGUCCCAAAGGUGACCUCCACGUACAGUUAUUUUUUUACUUUCUGCUCUAGCUUAUGUUUUGACAGAGGGUUUUUUCCUCAACUUUCCAGUGCUUUAUUGAACUACUCUUAGCUGUUGCCUAAAGGGGCUGCGAUUUAUGGUCCCUGAAAGCAAAGUGCCGUGCUCGCUCCCGGCCCAGCGGUGGGAUGGAUGGCACAGCUGCAUCCGCCAAAAUCGGAAUCUGCACUUAGUGCAGCGGCCUGCAAUUUAGCCCUCUGUCCCCCCGUUUUUUUUCCCACUACCCAUUUAUGGUGAAAUUUAUACGCUUUGCUUUUCAGCAUUGAAGGUAUGGUGAAAAGCAGACUUUUUCAUGUGGCUUCCUUGGCCGUUUUUCUGCAGACUUUCUCAGCGCUGUCUUAUGGGCACUAGCGAUGUUUAUUUUCAGAAAUAGCGAAUGUUUCGCAUUUUCAGACCGUGAUAAACUUGGACUCUUGAUCCUGCGUAUAAACCCCAUCCAAGCCUAGAUCGUUGCAGUUGCCCUGAAGGAAAAUGGAAAUAUGAAAGAAAUAUGGAAAAAGAGAAAUCAAACAGAGUACAAAGAAGUGAAGAGUCAAAUUUUAGGGAGAGACAAGCACUUCUGCGCAGCAAACUCCAGCUCCCGUGUGCUCUGCAUUCAUGUAUCCUUAUUUUGACUCAUCAUACAACUCCAGCUGUGGCCGAAGGCUUCUGAGAAAGCAGUUCAAAUACAGAUUUUGUGUUAAAGUGGAGGAAUUAACAGAAUUAUUCAACCAGCACAGGAACAGCCCUAUUAAACAACUGCGCGUAGCACUUUAGCUGUUAAUAUAUUAUCCCCUAACAGCAUUUCGCAUAGUUUUAAACAAUGCAAAUGCUGCCUUUAGAAUACUCUAAUUUAGAUAAGAAAAUAAAAUAUGCAAAAGCUCUUCCAAACAAUAGCUUUUAUUAAUCCCUGGUGAAAGGGCAUGGAAACCCGCGCGGCGGCGUUUGGCACAGCCUCUUGCAUGUUCCCGGCACCGCCGAUGUCUGCUCCUUUCUCGAGCCGAGAUCGCGUCAUCCCCGCCGCGCCGCCCAUCGGCACUGCAGAAGGAGCCAGCAGUUAAAUAUUUAUAUAAAUAUCUGAACUUCCCUUAUGGCCUUCAGCAUCUAUUUACUCAAAAAUACCCCCUUAGCAAGUUUAUCCUACCUGAUCUGCAAGUUAAACAAAUUUUCAAAAGAUGCACUG